UCUGAAUCCAUAAAAUAUGCACAUACUUCAUAUAAUACUUAUUUCAUGAUUGAUACACUUGAUUCGGUCAUGUAAGAUGUCUUUAAAGAAAAUUACUUUAAAGAUGUAUUGGAACAAGGUAUCAUGAAUGGAUAAAGGAGUGGCAUGAAGAAUGAAAAAGUCAAGGAGCAAGUAGCUUUGUUAGAAGUGAGACCUCAGUCUAAUGCACCAAAGAACUUCAUAUUUAAGGAGUUUCGUACCUCUAGUGAAGAGAAAGACAAGCCAUCAGCUAAGGAACCAUCAGACGAGUUGAAAUCAAGGUGGUCGGGACCCAUGGAUAGGUGUAAGCCUAGUUCUCCCCAAGCUAAUGUAGGAGCAAGUUCUAGUUCGAGUUACACCAUAGAGGAGAGAUUAUAGUAGUUUAGUGUGGG
rnacentral:lncRNA from 1 species